CAAUAUUUAAUUUAUAGAAUAUAAAAUAUUAAUUUUGGAAAUUAAAAAAUUAUUUAAAAUAUUGA
rnacentral:tRNA from 1 species